rnacentral:rRNA from 1 species
GACGUAGGAGGCGAGCGUUGUCCGGAUUUACUGGGCGUAAAGGGCUCGUAGGUGGCCAACUAAGUCAGACGUGAAAUCCCUCGGCUUAACCGGGGGAACUGCGUCUGAUACUGGAUGGCUUGAGUUUGGGAGAGGGACGCGGAAUUCCAGGUGUAGCGGUGAAAUGCGUAGAUAUCUGGAGGAACACCGGUGGCGAAGGCGGCGUCCUGGACCAACACUGACACUGAGGAGCGAAAGCCAGGGGAGCAAACGGG